GGGUCACUACCAUGUUUUACUGAGGUAAAGACUUCGUCAGUCCGUACGAUGUUGCCGUCGUAGUCUACCGUGGCUAUGUCGGGACCGUCGUCUUGGUCCGGUGGUCCUACAGGUCCUUGCGCGGCCGCUUCUGGACGCUGCCCCACACGGGAUCGUCGAGGAACUCGAAGGAAAGCGAUUACCCCACCGGAACCUUGUCCAGGAGUUGCUAGAAUCACUCGUGGACGUAGUAGUAGUUAGUGUUUAGUAUGUAAAGUCCGUCUAUUAUCCGUUUGUUGUCUGCGAGUAGCCGCCCUUUCUACAUUGGUGCUAUAAACUUCCUACCCUCCACGGUCCAAUCAGUGAUCCGAACAUACAUAGGCUUUGGUUCGACUCUCUGAAUCUCGCGCGAACCAACUACGAGACCGUGACCGUCACGGUAAAGUCACAGUAGUUGAGUCUUACGCUAUUAGAUGAGUCCAUGGGCACUGUACGGGCACCUACAUCGUAAUGAGCAAUAACGUUCCACUCCACACCACAUAGUUGUUUCGUUACCUCACCGUCUUCAAGUUUAAACUCGACGAUCGAUCAGUGAUGUCUAAAUACCUUGAGAUUCAAUGCUUGUCGCACAGUAUCGUUAAUGGUGGGGACUUGUAUUGGUUGUUCGUUCGAAUAUUUGACCACUGGACUAAGUAAUACCCAUGAUUUCAGAUUUCUUGGCGCAUAAAUCAGAACAUGUGGUUUUCUCUGUUCGGUACGUACUUUAGAAAGUCUUAAGCUCAGUCCCGUAGUUUGUCGACUG
rnacentral:rRNA from 1 species